rnacentral:rRNA from 1 species
UGGUCUAUCAUGCAGUCGAGCGAAUCGAUGGGAGCUUGCUCCCUGAGAUUAGCGGCGGACGGGUGAGUAACACGUGGGCAACCUGCCUAUAAGACUGGGAUAACUUCGGGAAACCGGAGCUAAUACCGGAUACGUUCUUUUCUCGCAUGAGAGAAGAUGGAAAGACGGUUUACGCUGUCACUUAUAGAUGGGCCCGCGGCGCAUUAGCUAGUUGGUGAGGUAAUGGCUCACCAAGGCGACGAUGCGUAGCCGACCUGAGAGGGUGAUCGGCCACACUGGGACUGAGACACGGCCCAGACUCCUACGGGAGGCAGCAGUAGGGAAUCUUCCGCAAUGGACGAAAGUCUGACGGAGCAACGCCGCGUGAACGAAGAAGGCCUUCGGGUCGUAAAGUUCUGUUGUUAGGGAAGAACAAGUACCAGAGUAACUGCUGGUACCUUGACGGUACCUAACCAGAAAGCCACGGCUAACUACGUGCCAGCAGCCGCGGUAAUACGUAGGUGGCAAGCGUUGUCCGGAAUUAUUGGGCGUAAAGCGCGCGCAGGUGGUUCCUUAAGUCUGAUGUGAAAGCCCACGGCUCAACCGUGGAGGGUCAUUGGAAACUGGGGAACUUGAGUGCAGAAGAGGAAAGUGGAAUUCCAAGUGUAGCGGUGAAAUGCGUAGAGAUUUGGAGGAACACCAGUGGCGAAGGCGACUUUCUGGUCUGUAACUGACACUGAGGCGCGAAAGCGUGGGGAGCAAACAGGAGUAGAUACCCUGGUAGUCCACGCCGUAAACGAUGAGUGCUAAGUGUUAGAGGGUUUCCGCCCUUUAGUGCUGCAGCUAACGCAUUAAGCACUCCGCCUGGGGAGUACGGCCGCAAGGCUGAAACUCAAAGGAAUUGACGGGGGCCCGCACAAGCGGUGGAGCAUGUGGUUUAAUUCGAAGCAACGCGAAGAACCUUACCAGGUCUUGACAUCCUCUGACAACCCUAGAGAUAGGGCUUUCCCCUUCGGGGGACAGAGUGACAGGUGGUGCAUGGUUGUCGUCAGCUCGUGUCGUGAGAUGUUGGGUUAAGUCCCGCAACGAGCGCAACCCUUGAUCUUAGUUGCCAGCAUUCAGUUGGGCACUCUAAGGUGACUGCCGGUGACAAACCGGAGGAAGGUGGGGAUGACGUCAAAUCAUCAUGCCCCUUAUGACCUGGGCUACACACGUGCUACAAUGGAUGGUACAAAGGGCUGCAAACCUGCGAAGGUAAGCGAAUCCCAUAAAGCCAUUCUCAGUUCGGAUUGCAGGCUGCAACUCGCCUGCAUGAAGCCGGAAUCGCUAGUAAUCGCGAUCAGCUGCCACGCC